UACGUAGGGUGCAAGCGUUGUCCGGAAUUAUUGGGCGUAAAGAGCGUGUAGGCGGCCAGGUAGGUCAGCUGUGAAAACUCGAGGCUCAACCUCGAGACGUCGGUUGAAACCACCUGGCUAGAGUCCGGAAGAGGCGAGUGGAAUUCCCGGUGUAGCGGUGAAAUGCGCAGAUAUCGGGAGGAACACCUAUGGCGAAGGCAGCUCGCUGGGACGUUACUGACGCUGAGACGCGAAAGCGUGGGGAGCAAACAGG
rnacentral:rRNA from 1 species